rnacentral:rRNA from 1 species
GACGAACGCUGGCGGCGUGCUUAACACAUGCAAGUCGAGCGGAGCGGCGAACGGGUGAGUAACGCGUGAGUAACUCCCCCCCUCUCUGGGAUAACAGUUGGAAACGGCUGCUAAUACCGGAUAGUGGGGGAUGACUAGCGUCCUAUUCGCUUGUUGGUGGGGUUGUGGCCUACCAAGGCGACGACGGGUAGCCGGCCUGAGAGGGCGAGCGGUCACAUUGGGCUGGGAUACAGCCCAAACUCCUACGGGGGGCAGCAGUGGGGAAUAUUGCGCGAUGGGGGAAACCCUGAUGCAGCAACGCGCGUGCGAGAUGACGGCCUUCGGGUUGUAAACCGCUUUCAGCAAUGACGCGGUAGUGGCAGAAGAAGCAACGGCUAACUACGAGCCAGCAGCCGCGGUAAUUC